GUUUAAUGAAGAAAAGUAUUUUCUUGGCCUUAUUUUUUUUGCUCUUUAGGAAGAGGAAUUCUAUAUAAGAACAAUUCUAAUGAGGAUGUUCUCUGGCUGAACUUAAACAUUCACUGAGGUUUAAGAAUCAAGAAAGUCAGUCUUAGGACAGAGGAAGUUCCAGUCAUGCUUAACUUUCUCCCUUGUGUCCUAAUUUGCCGUCAACAAUACUUACAGAGCAUUUAGAGCCGCCUGACAGCUGCCACCUCUGGCGCCUGAACUCAGGGGCUCAGCCCUUAUGAUGACACAGGCCUUGUCACCAAACCACGCCCAGAGAGCUCUGCUGACACCGAGGAGCCUGGGACACCUCGGAGCCUCACAACCCUGCACGCUGACUCCCCCUCACCAUCCACUGCCCUCCACUAACAGGGCAGGUGCCCACUCAGACCCCUGGAGGAUGGAGCCCAGGGGGUUUCCCGGGAAAUCCCCUCCCAAGUCAAUCCCCAGAGGGCUCAUCUCCACCCGCCCUUGGGUUGUGGAUUGAUAAGUUUGUUAUCUUUCGGAAGGAGUUUCCUUAUCUGAAUGGGGUGCCAGGUAAACCCCCAAAAGAUGCAAUGGUCAAGGGCCUAGACAUAUGAGGACUGGGGUCUCCUUUGGGGCUAAGGAGUCUCCCACUCCUGUGCACAAAG
rnacentral:lncRNA from 1 species